rnacentral:lncRNA from 1 species
GUGAGCUCGCUCGCACGUGGGGAAAGGUGUGGAGGAAUGGGUGCGUCGCGAGGUCGGAUUUGCACUUUGUUGUGAGCAACUGUGCGCGGGAGCAGGGUCCCCCCCCCCCCCCCCGCUGGCUGUGGGUGUCGCCGAGAGGUUCGGACGGGGACCCGCGGCCCCGCGCCCCGCCCCCACCCGGCCGCCCGGGCUGGGCUUUCUCUUCCCUCUGUCCCCGGUCCUGUAGGUGUUUCUAUGACUACAUUGUGUGUGUGGGAGGGUCAGACGUGGGGGUUGUCCGCGAGAGGGCCGUUCCUGGGCGAUCAUUUAUCAAUGUCAUGCACAUAAUGAUUCUCUCUGCAGCCUCCUAUUGAUGAGGAUAAUUACAUUAGCUCAGAGUGACUGAUCAAUGAAAAACCACCACACAAAAACUUCUUUACUCCUCUAUAAUACCAAAAACCGAUACAGAAAUAACAUAGAAAGACUGAUUUUUCUUUCCCUUCUCAACCCACCAAUGGAUUCUGCACCCCCCCACCCCCCAAGGAUGAGGAAUAAAGUAAGAAAAUAGACCUAGGUUUGUUUCGUUCAAAGGAGGAUGCAGUUUGGUCCCUGAAUGCAUUUUCUCUAAAUAUGUUGGCUCCAACCCUCCUUUGGUAGAGAAUAUCAACGGAUUUGCUAAUAUGCAGGAGACCGGUUGAUUCUCGUGGAUUUUUUCCCCUCCCAGAGAACAUAGCCCAGGAGCAUCCAUUCAGAUCAAAUCGAGGAACAAAGAGUCUCUGCAGUAGGAGACACAGGUGGAGGCAAUUUCUAGUUCCUGUCUUCUAUCUGUAGACCCACCCAACAGACCCCUCUUCCCUUAGAUUCCUGACAUGUAAGCCUAGAUCACGGCCUUUUUACCAGGCGAGUGGGGCUUUGUUAAUGUAUUUGUACUUUUCUGCUUUCAGUCUAAGUUUCUCCCUUUGGCGGACAGAGGAG